GCAUCGAUGGUUAAGUGGUAAAUGCUUGCCUGCCACGCGGGCGGCCCGGGAUCGAUUCGAGGCCGAUGCA
rnacentral:tRNA from 1 species